GAAAAUGAGAUUUGUGUGAAGGUUACUUUCUUCAUGUUACAGAGAUACUUUUACAAAGAUGCUUUCUAUAUCUAGAUAGUAUAGCAGAUAAAUAGAUAACGUGUACAGUAAAUAGACUCUUCGUGUACUGUAAAUAGACUUAACGUGUAAAUAUCAGCUAACAUGUAUAGUAAGACCAGCAGGAAUUAAGCGCGGGGAUCAGUGCUUGGUUGUAACCCUUUUCUAUAUAAAUGAAUGAAAACAAUGGAAAGAGGUAUUGAAACCAAUCUUGACAUGGUAUCAGAGCCACUCCUCUGAUUUGGAAAUAAUCACUUCGUGUAAUUUUUUCUUGGGAAAUUUUUUUUCCAGCUUCCGUAAGAUUUUUCUUGCUCUUCGUGGGAGUCGUUGAUUUCUGUAGCAUCAAACCUUGUGGGUUUGAAUUUUCUGGUGAACAUCGAAUUUCUUUUUGGAGUGGACAUAGGUUCUCGGUUGUGGGUUGUCAUUUUUGGGUCUGUCGGCAACCUCAGUGCUCGUCGGCAUCGUUUGAGGGUGAUUCUGUGGCCGUCGGCUUCUUCUGU